rnacentral:rRNA from 1 species
UACGGAGGGUGCAAGCGUUAUCCGGAUUUAUUGGGUUUAAAGGGUGCGUAGGCGGUAAAAUAAGUCAGUGGUGAAAUCCUGCAGCUUAACUGUAGAUGUGCCAUUGAAACUGUUUUACUUGAGUUAUCAUGAGGUAGGCGGAAUGUGUAGUGUAGCAGUGAUAUGCUUAGAUAUUACACAGAACACCGAUUGCGAAGGCAGCUUACUAAUGGUACCACUGACGCUGAGGCACGAAAGCGUGGGAUCGAACAGG